CAUGGCGAAACGAAAGAGGGACAAUGGCGCUGAUACAAACAGGUGGGACAGAGUAGUUGAGGAAAAGUUCGUGGAGUUAUGGCAACAAUACUCCUGCCUUUAUGAUAUUUCAUCGAGGGACUACCACGACAAAGAAAUAAAAGAUGAAUCCUGGCGAACGAUAGCGGAGGCGGUUCAGCAACCCGCAGAAAUCACAGCUCGGGAACUCAGGAAUCAAAAUUAUUUCAGAGGUCAUUCAUGUGCAGUAUUUUCCCCCUGAAACAAAUUUUUACGAUAAUACCAAGAGCAUGUGAAGGCAGCAUAAGUAAAUUAACAGCAAACAUCUCGUCGUCAAGGUCCAAACAAAAGCUUCUUCCCUCCGAACACAAUAUGGGAAAGUGCUCCGUAUAAAACAGAAUGGUUGCAGUGACAAAGAACUAACUUCCAGACAGAAGUGGCUUUUAAGAAAAUUGAAGUUUUUACAACCCUUUGUUAUCCACCGGGUGUCUCAAAUAACAUUGGAUGAGUUUGAGAAUGACAUCACAGAUGAGGAUGAAGAAGACCAGGAGAUAGAGGAAGACGUGUCCGAGUCAUCCACUUCCCACCCCACAUCUAGACCAUCGACUCCAAUACCCACACCUGAAGCCUCCUCAUCCAACUAUCGUCAGGUCACAGUCGAUUAUCAUGAAAGACUAAAUAACAGGAAGGCCAAAAAGAAGCCGAGAGAAAAAUCAGUGGAUCAAAUCGAAAUGGAGAAAGUAAAGAUUUUGAAAAGUAUGUCUGAAACAUUGCUAGAUGCCAGUCAGGAUGUUGAUCAAACAUUUGCCAAACAGGUAGUUUCAGAGAUGAAGCUAAUCAAAGACCCCUUGACCAAGAUGAGACUGCGUCGCAACAUCCUUAUGAUGUUAUAUGACGCACAUGAAAAUGAAAUGAGCUCUGCAUCAAAUCCAAACCCCACAAUAAAUUGUGUAAAAAGUGAACCUGAAUAAGAAAAGCAAAGCUGAGCAUUCUCAUUUCACAAUGUUACCACAUCCCCCCAUGGAUGUGACAGAUCAAGCGUGGCAGAAAGCGUCUCUGUACCUCCAGUGUUCAGACUAAAAGGUCUGCCUGGACGGCGAUAGGAGAAAAGUAGGGCACAGCAACCACGGCAAGUCCACCAAUUCACUGCAACUAUCAAUUAUUUCUGUCAGAGUGUUUUCUUUUUCUUGCUUCGCCUUGUGCUUGCAUUUCUAUUUUUAAUCCAUUCGUCAUAGAUAUUAAGUUCAGUUAAAUGGACUUUCCAGACUUUUAUGAGUGGUUAUUGUGUCAUGUUGCCAGAUGUAAUGACAAUGUGUGUAUCUACUUUGAUACACACUUUAGUCUGCAUUUACAGCUGAGCUUUCCAUGAUAUAAACUAUUAUUUUCUUACAAUGAGUUUUGGAUAACUCAUGUUUUUAGUUAAGAAGAUUGUUUUACAUAUAUUACUGUAUACUACAGCUAGUACAAAAUAGAUUUGUAAGUAAAUAUUUUACUAAGUCUAGUGUGGCUCAUCUUCACUGACCUGUGCAAAGCCGAGAGCUGAAUGCCUUGGAACCAUCUACUGGGACCAUUGGAGCCAUUGAGUAGUGGCAAGUCUUUCCAUCUUUUUUCCAACGUCCAGUGAAAACCUUCCAAGAAUCUGUUCAUGGGAUGUCCUGCUUCCUAUUUAUCCCAAUGGUUCUGACAUGUUUAACAGCUCAUAGGGUUGUGGUGUAUGGGGUUGAAGAUGCCACACAUAUUGAAGAUAUAAUAAAAACAUAUAUUACCCUUUCAUGCCUGGAUACCAGUAAUUCCUUGGCAACCAUAUUGUCAAUUGCUGUAUCUGGAAAAGGUCUGCACAGUUGGGUACAGCUCUCAGGAGGGAGCGGUAUCUUACUCUUCAUUACUGUUACCUCUGCCAACCAAUUCAGCUUUGCAUUCCAGAGCUCUUCUGGGAUACACUUCUCGUCUGCCCCUUCAGUCAAUCGAGUGCGAAGAAAAUACAGUCUGUCAUAUAUCACUGCUUCAUCCCUGGCCGGCAUUUGAGAACAGCCAAAUCUGAUAUAUGGAAAUGCAUGUAAAAACAUACGGUAUGUUUAUGUAUGCAUUGGACAGUCACACAUAAAUCUAAGAUAUUUAUUAAAAUUAAUACAAAAAAUAUGUUUCUGUACACAGCCGAUUUUUGUCACAGAUACUUUGAGUUAAAAAAAUAUUCUGGAUUUUUUUUAUGAUCUUGGCGUCGCUAGCGCCAUGCUCUAACCACUGAGCAAACCACCUGACUAAACCGAGCCAGACAAGCAUUUGGACAUGUUUUUUCUCCUGUUCAGACAUAGCUCCAGCAUCGUUGUACUGGAUUUCAGUUCAGCCCCUCUUUGGCAGCUUGUAACUGAUACGAAUCAUUAUAAUAAAAACAGCCUCGGAGGGGAAUGCCCAAGAAACAUUUGUCACACACUGCGCCAAAAUAAAAUUGCACGAUUUCUGUAAUAUGAUUCAUUAUGGCAGCUCCUGUGAGUGUGGGUGUCUGUGCGAGCGAGCGAGAGACAUAGAGAGACAUUACAGGUUUCUUUAGCAUGACCAGGUCAGGUAUACUGAACAUUUCACAGAGUGCCUCAACUUUGUGCCAACAAAUAAUGUUCAAGACGAGUGACUCCUCAGACCCUCGAAGACUUUUGCUUACAGAACUCAUUUUAACAGCUUUAUAAAGACGGCAGCUGUAAUUCAGGUUCCGCUUAUCUGACGCUCCCAUUGAGGCUUUCUAUAUCUUAUGAAGUUGUUUACCCUGAAGAGAGCACAUUGUUAAUUACUACAAACACCACCAAAGGGCCCUGCUUAAUAAUUGAGGUUGAUUUCCUGCUCUCCUGGUGAUUAUGACAAAACACACCGAGCUUGAAAUGGGUGCAAAUUUGAUGCAUUGGUCGGUCUUCUGUCUAAGCGCUGAUGUGUGACACAGAGUUGUGGGCAUCAGGGGACAGCCAGAGGAACUAAUGAGGACCAUCAAAGAAGGCUUGAGUGACGUUUGUGUUUAUGUUAUGUUAAUUGUAUAUUUCAUGGGAAAUCAUCUAAACCCUAACCCUGUGAAGU